GGAUUAGAUACCCUGGUAGUCCACGCCCUAAACGAUGUCUACUAGUUGUCGGGUUUUAAUUAACUUGGUAACGCAGCUAACGCGUGAAGUAGACCGCCUGGGGAGUACGGUCGCAAGAUUAAAACUCAAAGGAAUUGACGGGGACCCGCACAAGCGGUGGAUGAUGUGGAUUAAUUCGAUGCAACGCGAAAAACCUUACCUACCCUUGACAUGUCAGGAAGUCUGGAGAGAUCUGGAUGUGCCCGAAAGGGAACCUGAACACAGGUGCUGCAUGGCUGUCGUCAGCUCGUGCCG
rnacentral:rRNA from 1 species